rnacentral:rRNA from 1 species
UACGUAGGGUGCAAGCGUUAAUCGGAAUUACUGGGCGUAAAGCGUGCGCAGGCGGCUUUGCAAGACAGAUGUGAAAUCCCCGGGCUCAACCUGGGAACUGCAUUUGUGACUGCAUCGCUGGAGUGCGGCAGAGGGGGAUGGAAUUCCGCGUGUAGCAGUGAAAUGCGUAGAUAUGCGGAGGAACACCGAUGGCGAAGGCAAUCCCCUGGGCCUGCACUGACGCUCAUGCACGAAAGCGUGGGGAGCAAACAGG